rnacentral:rRNA from 1 species
GACGAACGCUGGCGGCGUGCUUAACACAUGCAAGUCGAACGGAAAGGCCCUGCUUUUGUGGGGUGCUCGAGUGGCGAACGGGUGAGUAACACGUGAGUAACCUGCCCUUGACUUUGGGAUAACUUCAGGAAACUGGGGCUAAUACCGGAUAGGAGCUCCUGCUGCAUGGUGGGGGUUGGAAAGUUUCGGCGGUUGGGGAUGGACUCGCGGCUUAUCAGCUUGUUGGUGGGGUAGUGGCUUACCAAGGCUUUGACGGGUAGCCGGCCUGAGAGGGUGACCGGCCACAUUGGGAACGAGAUAAGGCCCAGACUCCUACGGGAGGGAGCAGUGGGGAAUAUUGCACAAUGGGCGGAAGCCUGAUGCAGCAACGCCGCGUGCGGGAUGACGGCCUUCGGGUUGUAAACCGCUUUCGCCUGUGACGAAGCGUGAGUGACGGUAAUGGGUAAAGAAGCACCGGCUAACUACGUG